AGAGUUUGAUCCUGGCUCAGAUUGAACGCUGGCGGCAGGCUUAACACAUGCAAGUCGAGCGGGGUGAUGGUGCUUGCACUAUCACUUAGCGGCGGACGGGUGAGUAAUGCUUAGGAAUCUGCCUAUUAGUGGGGGACAACAUUUCGAAAGGAAUGCUAAUACCGCAUACGUCCUACGGGAGAAAGCAGGGGAUCUUCGGACCUUGCGCUAAUAGAUGAGCCUAAGUCGGAUUAGCUAGUUGGUGGGGUAAAGGCCUACCAAGGCGACGAUCUGUAGCGGGUCUGAGAGGAUGAUCCGCCACACUGGGACUGAGACACGGCCCAGACUCCUACGGGAGGCAGCAGUGGGGAAUAUUGGACAAUGGGCGCAAGCCUGAUCCAGCCAUGCCGCGUGUGUGAAGAAGGCCUUAUGGUUGUAAAGCACUUUAAGCGAGGAGGAGGCUACUUUAGAUAAUACCUAGAGAUAGUGGACGUUACUCGCAGAAUAAGCACCGGCUAACUCUGUGCCAGCAGCCGCGGUAAU
rnacentral:rRNA from 1 species